UUUCCCACAGGAUAGCUGACGCUUGCAGGUCAAGCAGUUUAAUCUGGUAAAGCCAAUGACUAGAGGCCUUGGGGCCGAAACAGCCUCAACCUAUUCUCAAACUUUAAAUGGGUAAAAGGCCCGGCUCGCCUAGUGGGCCAUUGAUGGCUGCAUCC
rfam:Danio rerio chromosome 12, GRCz11 reference primary assembly.